CCUACGGGGGGCUGCAGUCGAGAAUCUUCCGCAAUGGGCGAAAGCCUGACGGAGCGACGCCGCGUGCAGGAUGAAGUGCUUCGGCAUGUAAACUGCUUUUGCCGGGGAAAAAGUUUAUUGAUAUUACCCGGAGAAUAAGAGGUUGCUAAACUCGUGCCAGCAGCAGCGGUAAUACGAGUGCCUCAAGCGUUAUCCGGAAUUACUGGGCGUAAAGGGUGCGUAGGCGGUCAUGUUAGUCUGAUGUCAAAACCUGCGGCUUAACCGCAGAUCCGCAUUGGAAACGGCAUGACUUGAGGAUGCGAGGGGUCUUUGGAACUCUAGGUGUAGCGGUGAAAUGCGUUGAUAUCUAGGGGAACACCAAAAGCGAAGGCAAUAGACUGGAGCAUUCCUGACGCUGAAGCACGAAAGCGUGGGUAGCGAAUGGGAUUAGAUACCCCAGUAGUC
rnacentral:rRNA from 1 species